CCCACACACGCGCGCCCACAGCCGCGGCGCCCGCACCCGAUCCCCAUCCCCGCAAACCCUCCCCCCACUUCUCCCUUCCUCCAAACCCUAGCUCACGCUCUCAUGUCCACCGCCGCGGACCCCUCCUCCCUCUCCGGCGACUCCUCCCCGACCUCCUCCGGCGACGCCGAAUCCUCCUCCUCCCCGUCCUCCUCCGCCGCCGCCGCUGGGGGCUCCGACGACCCCGCCCCCGUCGACCAAGUCGUCGCCUCGGGCUCCGGUGCAGGCGGCGAUGGCGACGCCGCCGCAGCCGUCCCAACCUCGCCGCGCAUUGGCAUGUACUUCGAGACGGAGGAGGACGCGUACGAGUUCUACAAGGCGUACGCCGCCAGGCUCGGCUUCGUCGUCCGCAAGUCCAACAAGUCCAAGAACUCGCGCCACACCGUCACCCGCCGCCUCUUCGUCUGCUCCAAGCAGGGAUUCCGCCAAGAACCCAAGAAGCCGCCUCAGGACGAGGCCGCCGCGGCGUCGCCCCCGCCUCCGCGGUGCCCGGACUCGCGCACUGGGUGCCUGGCGUCGCUCACCAUCAAGCUCCUCCCGUCGGCCAACGCGUUCCGAGUCACCGACUUUGCCACCGAGCACAACCACCCGCUCGCCUCCGCCGCGCCCGCCGUGUCGCUGGCAUUGCUGCCGCCGAGCUCGUCCCACCACACCAUCGCUGCCGUGGCGAGCCUGCCGGACCCGAGGGAUGGGCCACGCACCGAUAUGCACUUUGAGACGGAGGACGACGCGUAUGCUUUCUACAACCGGUACGCUGAGCAUGUGGGCUUCAGUGUCCGCCGCUCGUACAAGAAGCGAAAGCGUGGGGUGAUCGUGUCCCGGAUCUUUGUUUGUUCCCGCGAGGGAGUUAGUGACCGUGCCAAGCACGAGAGUAUUGCCAUUGUCAGCAACAAUGCUAGCACAGGGCCAUCAGGCACACCUAGACCAGGCCCUCCACCGACGCGGACAGGGUGCCAGGCAAGAAUGGUAAUCAAGAUCACCCCAUGCCGGACGUACCGGGUGGCAAAGUUUGUUCCGGAGCAUAAUCAUCCACUUGCCAAUCCAGAUAGUGUGCACAAGCUGCGGUCGCACAAAAUGAGGGCUCGAGCUCAUGAGCUUGGGGCAGGGGAACUGCAUCGCAGAAAGCAUGGGAAAGGUGUGCAACUUGGGGAUGCUGGAGCAGUGCUGGAAUACUUGGAAGAGCUGCAGGUAGGGAACCCUUCAGUGUAUUAUGCGGUAGGAGUGGGGCCUGAUGGAAAAUCAGCUGCAAAUUUCUUCUGGGCUGAUGCAGAGUCAAUGAUCGACUAUAGGAGCUUUGGUGAUGUUGUUUGCUUUGAUACAACAUAUGAGUUAAAUGGGUAUGGAAGGCCAUUUGCAUUGUUUGUUGGUGUGGACAACCACAAACAGAUGCUUGUGUUUGGUGCUGCUCUGCUUUAUGAUGAGAGCAUUGAAUCAUUGAAAUGGGUAUUCAAGGCGUUUGCUGAUGCAAUGUGUGGUAAGCAGCCAGACACUGUUUUGAUUGAUGAGCGUCCUGAGUGUGCUAUGGCAGCAGCAGAGGUUUGGCCAAGAAGUAGCCAUUGCACAAGUGUGUGGCAUAUCUACCAUAACUCAAAGAGGCACUUGAAGCAGGUAUUUGAAGGCUCAAAGAGUUUUGCCAAUGCUUUAAGCCAUUGUCUCUUUGAAUGUGAUGAUGAGGUGGAAUUCUUGUCAGCAUGGGAAAAACUAAUUGAGAAGCAUGAUGUAGGUGAGAAUGAGUGGCUCAACAAACUUUUUCUGGAGAAAGAAAAAUGGGCUUUGCCUUAUUGGAGAGCCUUGUUUUCUGCUGAUAUCCUCACCACUCUUAGGAAGGAUAAUAUGAUUAAUGAUAUUAAACGGGAGCUCAGUGAGCAAGAAGAUAUUCUGCAGUUCUUAAGGCGCUAUGAGACCAUGCUUGAGGAGCAUCGGUCAAAGAAAUUGCAGGCUGAUGUUGAUGGAAGCCAGGUGACAUUGCCAAUCCCAUCCUUGCGAAUGUUAAAGCAAGCUUCAAGUGCAUACACGCCCGAAGCUUUCAAGAUGUUCCAGGGUGAGUUUGAGGCUUACAUGAAUUGCAUGUCCUUCCCAUGUGGUGGACUUGGCACAAUCUCGGAGUAUAAAAUAACACUUGAUGAGAAGCCAUCAGAGAGCAUUGUGAAAUUUGAUGCACUAGAUGGAUCAGCUACGUGCAGCUGUAGGAAGUUUGAAUCUGUUGGAAUUCAGUGCUGUCAUGUACUAAAGGUACUUGAUCUCAAGAAUAUAAAGGAACUCCCAGAACAAUACAUUUUGAGGAGAUGGAGAAAAGACGCUCGUUCUGUCAGAAUAGGGGAAGAACCUUCUGGUGGAUCUAGCAGUAUGCGUUCAGCCUCAGAAGUCCGCUUCAGUACUAUGUGCCGUUUUCUUAGCUUGAUAGCUUCAAGGGCUGCCAGAUCUGAGGAGGCAACGUCUUAUAUCGAAAGUCAAUCAAGUGUUCUUCUGAAGCAUCUAGAUGAUAUUUUACAAACAGGUUAUCCUGAUAUAGGAAAUCAUGUUGUUGCUUCAAGUAGUCAACCAAUUUCUUUUGUGGGAAACCAACUUCCUGACCAUACAUCACAAGCAAGAGGAGUUCCACAGACCACAAAUGGCCUGAUGGGGGUUUGACAGAGCAAUUGCAGUCCAGACCAUACUGGCUACUAUGCUGUACUUGGACCCCAGAAUCAUAUGUGGCCCCUGCCGUCCAGUUCUGGGGUACUAUGUUCGUCGGAACUAGCCAUGUGUCACCACCACGGGGAGCUCCGCUACUAAAUAACAUCCUUAUAGACAGAGGCCCACUUGGUGGAGAGACAGCAGCCCACACUGCACCAUGAGUCCGGCUCAGAAGUUGGCAUGUCAAAUUCACAGUCUGCAUCAAGUCAUGAACAGUGUUUCACUUUACCUCACAAAGCUGGACCGCAAUGAUGUCCUGGUUGCCUUGCUGGUACCAGAUCUCAAAUUCAAGAUAGUUGGGGAAAUUGCUGCUCUCAGUAAUCUUGAAAACGAUAUUCUUGUUUGGGUAGGUACAAGAAACCCUGUAGUGUAGAGGAAACCAGAACCAUGACAUGUCAGUAACAGCACAUGCGUCCAUAAUUCCUUAUGCAGAUAUUGUUUCUAUAGUAGUUUUCAUUUUAUUUUUCAUCUAAGAAAACAAAUAGUUAUGCCGUUCAAUCAAGAAUUUUGGCAGAUUAAUUAUAUGCGCAGACCUCCUGUACUCAAUCCCAACCACGCCAAGGGUUAGCAGCGCUGUACCAGCAUCUGUACUCUGCGCCAUCCUGGUGAAAGCAUGCUGGCUGAGGAUGAAAUCAGUGCCAUCACUCGCCCCAGAGUCGGUGAUCACAAUUGUGACGCCAUUUGGAGAGCAAUAGUAAGGAUUCGUGCACCUCACCUAUUGGUAAUUGGCAUUGUUGGUAAAAAUGAAAGGAUUUUUUUUUAAUGAUUCACACAGCCUAGUCAUACAGAUGGAUUACCUGGUAGCAUGCACCACAGCCUACCCCAUCCCUGUAGAGGCUUGCUGAAGCUGAAACAUCACCAUUGUUGAGUGUUGCCCCAAAUGCGCCAUACUCACAUGCACCGUCUAGAAGUACAAUUAGAAACAAGUACAAUUUCUAUGAGCUAGCUUAGAAACUUUAUGCAUUUCCGAGUUUAAGUAUAAUUUAACUUCCUUUUUUUGGGUUCAUGUGAGGUAUGCUAACCCAAUUGAAGUAAUUUUAUCUGAAAGGUACUUACUUUCGGUCCCUUUUAUAUCAGAGUUGGGGUAAUAUGCUGCUCUCGACACAGUGAAGUUUGCAUCUGCAGUAGCCUUAGAGAGGAACAAGAUGAGAGAAAGUAUGACUGGGAGAUGCCGACGAAGCAGCUGAGCCAUUGGUGGUUUGGACCGUGGAGACGCGUACAAAGCCUUAAGAGAUGCGGUGCAUGCAAUAGGAGAGGUGAAACAAGCCAAGUAGUUCUAUUUGAUGUUGAUCUUGCCUCAGAGGUUGUUAUGUAUUUAUAGUGUUGAUAUUGCCUGGCUGUUUGCUAUCCUUAGGUUGCUGAUGAGUUUACGAGCUGGAAUUUUUUUUUAUUUUUUAUUUUUAUUUUUAUUUUUUGGUUUUGAAUGCCAAUGCCGUUGUUGACAAUGCUUCUCUCUGAUGAAUAUGUUCCCCCAAGUUGUGUGUUUACACUUUUUUCGCUUUCUCAAUUGCAAGAACAUUUUUA